GCCGUCUUCAGAGACAGUUGGCAGUUGGGCAGUAGCCAUCUUAGGAGGACUCAGAGCAGCAACUUGAAGCAGAGGCAGCUGCUGGUGUGUGACAGGAGUGCUGUACAGCUUAUGAAAAGCCAGAUUCUAUUCCCGGUGACCUGAGAUCUUCAUUGUAGCAGCCAAUCAGUAAUACCAGCCUCCUGUGAGGAUCCCACUGCUUCUAAUGGUGCUGGCUGACAGGCAUCUGACAGAGCAGAACAGUGAUGGGCACUACUGACUGUGUAGCUGGAAACUAGGCCACGCAGCCUACCCUCCCUUUUGAAGGACAGCCCUGGAGGUAGCCCUGCUUUGGAGUAACAGACGGUGGGAAGAGCAGAGACAGUGUCUUGCUGCAGCUGCAGACAGAGGCAGAGCACAAAGGCAGGUGGCAGGACCUGCAGAAGAAGGUCCCUCCCCCUCUCAACCACCCUCCCCCAUCAAUCAGCCUCCUCUUCCUCCCCCUCUCAAACACCCUCCUCCAUCAAUCUGCCUCCUCCUCCUCCCCCCAUCAAUCUGCCUCCCCCUCUCAACCACCCUCCCCACAUCAAACAUACUCCCACUCUCAACCACCCUCACCCCAUCAAUCUGCCUCCUCCUCCUCUCAAGCACCCUCCACCCAUCAAUCUGCCUCAUCCUCUCAAGCACCAGCCCAGCAUCAUUCAGCCACCUCCUCCUCCUCUCAACCACCCCCGCCCAUCAAAACACCUUUGACAUUCCCACACCCUCACAAUCGGAUCCUCCUACCCCCAUCCAACCCCCAACACCCUUACAAGACCCUUCCCCCAUCCAAACUACCACACCCUCUCCAGACCCUUCCCCCAUCCAAACUACCACCCCCUUUCAAGACCCUUCCCCCAUCCAAAGUGAAGCACCCCCUUCGGAUGUGGACGCAGGAGAGUGGGCAGCUGAGGCCCCGGAGGGAGUUGAGGGUGCUUUUCCGCCGUUGGUGAGAAAUGCUGCAGAUGGAGAUCACAAUGCAGAAUUGAGGAGAGUGGUGGUUGUUAUGAAGCAGCAUUGCAGGGGACUUCUGGAGGCGAUUGUUAGCCUGGGCAAAAUGAUUUGACAUUUUUUCAUUAGAACCCAUAAAAUAAAAAAUAAAAAAAA